rnacentral:rRNA from 1 species
AGCUCCAAUAGCGUAUAUUAAAGUUGUUGCAGUUAAAAAGCUCGUAGUCGGAUUUCGGGCUGACUGUGCCGGUCUGCCGUUGGGUAUGCACUGGUCUCGGUCGGUCUUUUUGCGUGAGGCCUUGCGCGUCGUUUGCUCGUCGCGCUCGGUGCUCUGCACGUUUACUUUGAGAAAAUCAGAGUGUUCAAAGCAGGCCUUUGCCAUUGUAUGUGUUAGCAUGGGAUAAUGGAAUAGGACCUUGGUGCUAUUUUGUUGGUUUCGAACGCCGAGGUAAUGAUUAAUAGGGAUAGUCAGGGGCACUCGUAUUCCGUAGAGAGAGGUGAAAUUCUUAGACCCACGGAAGACGCACUACUGCGAAAGCAUUUGCCAGGGAUGUUUUCA